UCCAAGAACAACAGCUCAAGCUCUUCACAACAAAUUUCCCCUUUUUCCCCAAGAAGGGAUAGUAAUUACAGACACUCAUACCAUCUAUGAGACUGUCAAGCAGGGAACCAAACAUCUUGGAAGGAAUCGAGAGAUGAAUGAGGCAGGAUCAAAAGGGUAUUGUCUUACCUAUUGCUGCAUGGGACCACAUCUCAACUUGCAACUAUUUGAUGUUCCUUGCAAUGAAGUCAAAUAUCACUGAAUCAGAUGACGCUGGAGAAGUAAAGGGAGAGUAAAAUUUCUGUAAUUUACUCUCAUCAUUUUGUCUUGAUAUUCUCAGUGAAAGUGGAAAGGAAGAAAAUGAAUAUUAAACCUUGUUCUCAUUUGACAGCUGAAUUUUCAGUUUGCAUGGUUGAAGGUAUUUUAUAUUUAGGAUAGCAUACUGCUAAGAACUUGCAAGGGAUAAACAACUCCAGAAGUGAACAAAAGCACAGCUUGCAUUACAGUCCCUAUAAUAUUCCAUGCAGCCUAUACAUUCAGUAGUAGACUGAAUAUUAAAGUAAUCAUUUUUAUUUGUGUUCCAAACUUAUUGGAAGCUGGGGGAAAGUUACAAUGAAGUGUAUAUGAGUGUUUUUCCAUCCAUACUUUUUCAUGGUAGAUUUUACA